rnacentral:lncRNA from 1 species
GGACUCAUGGUGGCCUGAGCAGAGAGUAAGGAGUGAUCCUCAAGUAUGCCCCCCACCUUGGAGGACCAGGAGGGUGGAAGGGGAGUUUAAAGUGCAAAGACAGGCUCCAGGCUGGGAGUUCUGGAAUAAAUACAACUUGCAAAGGGUUGUAUUCAGAACAUUCCUACAAGUCAACAAUAAAAGACAAACAGCUUAGUAGAAUAAAUGGUGAAAAAUAGAAACAAAAUUCACAGAAGGAACCUGAAUGCCUAAUAAAAAUAUAAAUGGGAGUUCAACCUCACCAUGACAAGGGAAAUGCAUGGGCAAUCCAACUUUACACUCAGCAUGACUGCAAACAUUACAGAGUCCAUUAAAAUGGUGAGGAGCUGAGCAACAAGACCCACUCGCAGGAGGGGUACAGAGGAUGCCCUGUGACCCCGCAACUCCACUCACAGGAAAUGCCUAGGGAAUCUCUCACACUUGAGAAUGACUGCUGCAUUGUUGUAAUAUUGAGAAAUUGGGGCCAACCUAAGUACUCACCAACAGGAUGUUGUUAAAUAAACUGUGAUAUCUACUCAAUGGAAUAUCACACCCCACCUAGGGGAGCAGAGGAGACUGUGUAUGGACACAGACAGCUCAUGAAGGUAAGGGAGAAAGAAAAGCAACUCACAAAGAUACUGAUUUAUACGGUUUACAAAUACACGUACAGUGAAAAAUGACACCAUCAAGCCAGGCACAGUGGUGCACACUUACAGUCCCAGCUACUUGGGAGGCUGAAGCAGGAGGAUCACUUGAGCCCAGAGGUUUGAGUCCAGUCUGGGCAACACAGGAAAAACUCUGUCUCAAAAAAAAAAAAAACUUUUAAAAUGACCAUAUCAUGGAAAAUUCUGGAGAGCAGUUAUCUUGGGACAGAGAUGAGGCAGUUGGCGGGGCGGGGCGGGGUGGGGGGGAACAGGGGACAGGGGUGGUCACAGGAGUCCUAGCUGCUCUGAAGUCGUGAGUGGGGACAGCAGAGCCUGUUCAGGAGGCUGCUGACUGUCCAGGGCUUUGCUGAGUGCCUGGCUCUGCCAAUGGGAGGUUACCAGCAGGAGAGCCUGGAGUGUCGAGGAGUCACCACGGCCCUGCACUCAGUUAAUGCUCUACUGUUGCUGUCUGGAUAUCACUUGACUUUUGGGUGUGGUUGGUGUUGCUUUAAGUUUCUGGGGAUAGCAAAAGCUUAAGAAGUGACUCUUGCCAUCACAUGGCUGACCACCUCUGGUGAGAACACUGGAGAAUAGUUUAGGGGUGCCCGAGUUUCCCCCACUGCAUAGAGCCUGGUGCCAGGGAAGACAGGCUGGACCUGGCUGUGGCCCCUUGAAUGGUGGCAGGGAGACCACAGCACAUCGCAGGGCCCUGAGGAUGACGUGUAUUUGAGGGGGCAGGGUUCUCCAGUAGCAGGUGUUGCACAGUGGGGAAUGGUGGGUGCAGAGCUGGGUUAGUUUUAGCAGAGGUGUGAAGGUGAUUCCUCUCUGAGCUGGAGGUGGAAGCAAAUGGGAAAACGGUCUGGCAUAAACAGACAAGCCCCGGGGAGGCAGACAGCGUCCACCACUACCAGACAAGGCCUAUUCUACCUCCUUGCCUGGCUGUCCCCUCCUUAGGCCUGUUGCCCCUUCCUCUCUAGACCCUCUGCCUGCCAGGUGUGUAAGCCUUUCUGCCUGGACAGCCUCAUUGAGACAGCCCUAGACUAACAGUCACCCAUAUUGAGCCCAAGCCCACCCUGCAUGAUGCCAAGCUUAGAAAUGUCACCCUGGAGUCACAAAAUCCCUUCUUUGCAUUACCAAAAGAGGUGGUCACUCAGGGGUGCUGGAAUCUUCCCCACCUUAAGGCUUAGCUCCAGUCUGUAGCCCAUUCCCUGACAGGUACCUGGGUUUCCCAGCCUUUGAUGACCCCAAACGCUGUCUCUUCCCUAAGGGUCACUGCCUUGGGAUUUGCCUGCAGGCUAGGCACACCUGGUAAAUGAGGUCUCCACACACUGGGUCAUUAGUACCCACAAGCAAUCACUGUUGAGUUCAUGAACUCUCAGGCUGGAGCUCAGCAGUCCCACUAGGGACCACCACUGGGGUCACAAGAUGGCCUUGAUCCCCAGUUAUCUGGAUCCCCAGUUCCCUGAACCAGAGCAGCUUCCUAAACUCCCUAGUCCAGCAGAGGUUAGGGCUCGCUUUCCCUGCUAGAGGGGCCUCCUCCAAACCCCACAGUGCCCCAACAACACUUCCUGUCCUCUGGUAGACCCUUACCUGCCUGUGUCUUGCACAAAGUGCACACUGGGAGGCAAGAGCCUGUCUCUGCAGUAAGAAGGGCUUGGGGCAGUGCUCCGCUGGCAGGCAGACAAGGCAGGCAGGGCCCCAGCCCAAUGCCUGAGUCAGCAGGCUCCUAACAGCCUGAGUGACCUCCUCAUAGCAUGGGGUCAGUGCAGCGGCAAUGUCUGGGUUGUUGAGGGUUUUGAUGGGUGAUCAAUGCUGGAGGAUCCUCCCUCUGCCUUCCCCAUCCAACACAGAUCAUCUCCAAUGUGCCAGACCUGUGCUGGGCAACAAGGUUGGCUGAGAUGGCCUGAGACAGGGUCCCUUGAUGAACAGUCCACUGGGAAUGGGGCCUGCAGUGGCCCUGGAUGAUUUCAGUAUCUGCCACUCACCUUGGUCAUGAUGCCACAGAGAGUGUGGCAUGGCCAGGACUGUACCUGGGGCAGAUGGUCUUGCUCUUUGGUUCUGGGGAGGAGCGCAAAGUGACUGGGCUCAGGUGAAGGAGCUGUUGGCUUAUGAGGAGGCUGCUCCAAGAAGCAAAUAGGAGACAAGGAACCACUGGCCUGCAGAUGGGGCAGGAUCCUGGACCUGGGCCCCCCGAGUCACCAGCCACAUGGCCUUGGGAGUGUUACUUACUCCUGUGAUUGUAGCACAAUGAGGGGUUAGACUACAAAGUCCCUCAGGCCCUGACCAGCUCUGGGGAAGAAGGCCUAGGACUGAGAGAGGCAGCAGGGAGGCUGGCCAGGGUCACCUCCCAGGUCCAGGCAGCUUUCCUGCAAGUGUUUCCUAAGCUGUCCUUCUCCAGGGAGAAUAGCCUCAGCCCUGCCUGACAGGAGGCGGCAUACACCUGAGCGCCUGACAGUACCCUCGUGAACCUGCCUGAGGGUGGCCACAUUCCCACACCCCAUGUGUGCCUAUCUCCAUCAGCACUGAGAAGACAGCAAACGCCAGCUUGCCAGGGGUUUACCCAGAAAGCCCAGCGCAUACCCCCAGAGUGUUCUGGCAGACCUGUGCCAGCUGGGUUCAGUGACAGUUCAUCCUGCCAUGGGCUCUGGUCUCCCCAUCACCCUCUGAGGGGGAAGCAGGAAGUUGUGAGGGGUAGCCGGGCCUGACCUCUCUUCCCUGGCACGAUGCUGUCUCCCUGUGCAAAGUGGGGACUUCAGGCAUUUGGUGUGGAGGAAUGGGUGGUGGGAUUGAAAACCCCUACCAGACCCCUGUCACACCAAGGAGCCCAGCGAUGGGGGGGUUUCUUCCCUCCCUCUGAGGUAAGACCAAUCUGUUAAACUUUCAGUACUAAAAAAUAAAACCGAGUGGGAGGAAGGUGAGGACUGAAAAACUACAUAUCAGGUAUCAUGCUGAUUACCUGGGUGACAAAAUUAUCUGUACACCAAACCCCUAUGAUCCAAUUUACCCAUGUAACAACCCUUGAACCUAAAGUUGGAAAGAAAAAAAAAGGUAAAAUUAACAAAUCCAUAUUAGUGUGAGCUGGGUGAGUAGUUUAGUCUGAAAUGACAGAAUAUUCAUUUUUCGUCUCUCUGAGAUAGUGACCACACUGUCCUCACCAGGA